CUUGGGGAAGGACCAUUGCUCAGUGGUAGAGCAUCUGCCCUGCAUUCAGAAGGUCGCAGGAUCAAUCCCCAGCAUCUCCAGGU